rnacentral:rRNA from 1 species
CACGUAGGGCGCAAGCGUUGUCCGGAAUUAUUGGGCGUAAAGAGCUCGUAGGCGGUUCGGCAAGUCGGAUGUGAAAUCUCCACGCUUAACGUGGAGGGGCCAUUCGAAACUGCUGUGACUCGAGUCCGGUAGGGGAGUGUGGAAUUCCCGGUGUAGCGGUGAAAUGCGCAGAUAUCGGGAGGAACACCGAUGGCGAAGGCAGGUCUCUGGGCAUUAACUGACGCUGAGGAGCGAAAGCAUGGGGAGCGAACAGG